AUGUGUACAACUCCAGUAAACACACUGCACGUGCUCCCCUCCCAAGGGCUACCAGGCCACUGUGCAUGUGGACAGCCCACCCCGAGGGAAGAAUCAGGAGAGAAGUAACACAGGACCCCAGAAGUAUGCCAGUAUAUAAAACUCCAAGUCAAAAUGUCAAACCAUGCACUUGACUCUCUCAAGUCGCCUGCUGGCCCUCUUCCAAGUGUAUGUUACUUCUUCGUAUUCCUGCUUCAAAACUUUGUAAUAAACGUUCACUACUGCUCUAAAACUUACCUCAGUUCCUGUUUCUGCCUUAGGCCCCUCAGUCUAAUUCUUCCUUCUGAGGAGGCAAGAAUCGAGAUUGCUGCCGACCCUCAUGGAUAUGGAUUUGCUGCCGAAUGAAAAGUCCAAAAGUAAAAAACCUAGGAUUGGUACUGUGUCUCCAUGAUGCCAGCAGAGAAAUGGACUCGUAUCUUUCCACUAAGCCACCCUGGCAUGUGCUUUUCAUCCUUGGGAUUAUGAGACGGCUGCUUUGCUUCCAGAAUUGAGUCCGUGUUUCAGGCAGGAAGAAAUGAAAGAGCCAAGGACGAAAUGUCCAUGCCAGCCAAGUCUGCCCUCUCCCUCCCUUCCCAUGCAUCCACAUAUUUUAAAGAACAUUCCUGGAAGUCCCAUCAAAAACUGCCCCCUCCCUUUUUUUUUCAGUUGCCAGAACUAGGUCAGAUGAUGACUUGUAUCCAGGAAUUCAGCAGUGUUUGUUUAAUCUUUCCCCCAAGCUGGGGUUAUGUAGACAGGAAUAAGAAUGGAUACUGGGAAGAGAUCGGUAGGUUUUCGUAGCUGGCAAACAAUGAUGAUAACAAUAUUGAUGAUGAUCAUAAUAAAAAUCAUCACAGUUA